GACGUAGGGCGCGAGCGUUGUCCGGAUUUAUUGGGCGUAAAGAGCUCGUAGGCGGCUCGUUGCGUCGGCUGUGAAAACCCGCAGCUCAACUGUGGGCUUGCAGCUGAUACGGGCGGGCUGGGAUUCGGUAGGGGAGACUGGAAUUCCUGGUGUAGCGGUGAAAUGCGUAGAUAUCAGGAGGAACACCGGUGGCGAAGGCGGCUCUCUGGACGGUGACUGACGCUGAGACGCGAAAGCGUGGGGAGCAAACAGG
rnacentral:rRNA from 1 species